GAUGAACGCUGGCGGCGUGCCUAAUACAUGCCAGUCGAGCGAACAGAUGAGGAGCUUGCUCCUCUGACGUUAGCGGCGGACGGGUGAGUAACACGUGGAUAACCUACCUAUAAGACUGGGAUAACUUCGGGAAACCGGAGCUAAUACCGGAUAAUAUAUUGAACCGCAUGGUUCAAUAGUGAAAGACGGUUCUGCUGUCACUUAUAGAUGGAUCCGCGCCGCAUUAGCUAGUUGGUAAGGUAACGGCUUACCAAGGCAACGAUGCGUAGCCGACCUGAGAGGGUGAUCGGCCACACUGGAACUGAGACACGGUCCAGACUCCUACGGGAGGCAGCAGUAGGGAAUCUUCCGCAAUGGGCGAAAGCCUGACGGAGCAACGCCGCGUGAGUGAUGAAGGUCUUCGGAUCGUAAAACUCUGUUAUUAGGGAAGAACAAAUGUGUAAGUAACUAUGCACGUCUUGACGGUACCUAAUCAGAAAGCCACGGCUAACUACGUG
rnacentral:rRNA from 1 species